rnacentral:sRNA from 1 species
GCGCCAAAUAUAUGGCGUUGGCGGAAGGGCCGGC